UACUUCAGAAUCCCAAAAGGAAUCUUUCAGUAUGACAUCACAGCAAGGAUGCAUCUUCAGAUGAAAGCUCUAGAUUCAACACAUGAAUCAGUAUGCUUGCAAGUGGAAUGCCGAGAACAUUGGGGCUACAAACAGGGAGCAUGCCAACCAGUCGCAGCAUUUUCCUGGCCCUGUUACAGUGGGAACAUACACCCAGAGAAGCAUGCAGAUGUUCAUGUUCAAAAAAGACUUGAAAGUACCAGUGCCAAAGAAAAGGUGACCUAGUAGCUGUCGGAUGUAAAGCUCUCAGCUACUGCUUCAGCACCAAAUCUGCCUGUUCCCCUGCAUGACGAUAGUUUAAUGGACUCUGAAAUGGGCAUAAUAAAGUCUAGCCCACCCACCC